rnacentral:misc_RNA from 1 species
GACCUUAUGAAGCUGUUGGACCACUUCCUGCUGGUCAGUCUCACCAGAAAUCUGGAACCACUCAUCAAAAGUCUCAGCUGAGCUAAAGAUCUCAGGUAGCAGAAAGUUCAGCAGUGCCCAGAGUUCAUGAAGAUUAUUCUGAAGCGGUGUCCCCGUGAUAAGCAAUCUAUAAUUAGUGUUGUAGAGCCUCAUUGUUUUUGAAAGAAGUGAAUUUUCAUUCUUGAUCCUAUGUGCCUCAUCAAUUAUGAUGUAACGCCAACUAAAGCGUCGUAGAGCAGACUUCUCUUUGAUAACCAUCUCAAAGCUUGUGACACAUACAUCAAACUUCCCUGCAACAAGUAGUUCCUCGCGUAUGUAUCUCCUUUCAUCAGGAUUUCCAAGGAACUUAACAGCACGUAAAACAGGACAGAAACGUUUGAUUUCGUUCAUCCAAUUGCCAAGCG